rnacentral:piRNA from 1 species
UAAAAAAUAAAAAGGAACUAUUAUAAAAC